UACGGAGGGUGCAAGCGUUAUCCGGAUUCACUGGGUUUAAAGGGUGUGUAGGCGGGUAUUUAAGUCAGUGGUGAAAUCUCCAGGCUCAACCUGGAAACUGCCAUUGAUACUAUUUAUCUUGAAUAUUGUUGAGGCAGGCGGAAUAUAUCAUGUAGCGGUGAAAUGCUUAGAUAUGAUAUAGAACACCGAUUGCGAAGGCAGCUUACUAAACAAUCAUUGACGCUGAGGCACGAAAGCGUGGGGAUCAAACAGG
rnacentral:rRNA from 1 species